rnacentral:ncRNA from 2 species
AAACUUAAUAGUUUCUUAAGUGCCUCUAUAAAUAUUUAUAGGAUAAUAGGGAAGUUGGGUGAAGAUCCCACGCGGUACCGCCACUGUAAACGAGGAGUUAUGUCAUAAUAUACCACUGGAAAUAUAUUCUGGGAAGGUUGAUAUUAAUGAUGAUACGUAAGCCAGAAGACCUGCUUAAGAACGUGAAUUCUA